CUUAAUUUACCAGCAUUUAACUUGAAAUUAAUGUCUUCUGAUGUUGGUGGCCAGCUGGGUAGUUACCACCCACCCCCACCCAGCAACAAGACCUGUAGAAUUAGGAGGAAAACAUGGCAACAUCCCUGUUCCUUUACUAGUUGCAAUCAGGACACAGCUCUCAAAAGGGCUUCAUUUUAAUAUAUCAUGUUUGAUGUAAAUUAUUAGAAAUUUCAGCAGGAAAUAUUCUCUCAGCUUUAGAAGACUCCACUCCACUUUAUAGAAGCACUGCAAGAGUUGACACUGUGGAAUGAGGAGCGUUAGAAGUGUGGACGUUCCCAAGCCAUCUACUGAGAAGCUAGCAAGGCAGAACCUGAAAGAAAGGUGAGAAGAAGAGAAAGACAGAGAGGAAGAAUGGAUGUGACUGAUGGGAUUCAUUCGCUGGCCUGAUUUCUCAGCUUGGUCCCACAUUCUUGCCGUCUCUCGGGGUGGGUACAGGUAGCACUGCGACUGAUAACAUCAAGGCUUUCCAACCUGAAGCUCACAGGUCAG